AUAUUGACUCACCCCUCCUAAAGCGACACUCUCGUAUUUCUCGGAAACUAAAUUAUUAAUUUAUUAAAUAAAUAUAAAUUAUUAAAUUACUAUUGCACCCUUAACACUGAUAGAAACGUGAUCUGUUUAAAUAAAAGCAUGUAUUUAUGCUGUUGAGAGAGAGAGAGAGAGAGAGAGAGAGAGAGAAAAGUUUUAUUUUUAACUUUUGUUUAGGAAUUAUUAUUCAGAAACAAAAUAGGAUGACAGUAUUGGCGGCUUUCCACUAUAGCUCUUAUCUAUGUUCAAUUCCGCGAAUAUUUCGAGGCGACAAACACGCCUCGCAUUCUCUACACGCCUUGGCUCUGAAAAUUAAGAAUUAUUUUGCAAAAGGACAUGCGCAGGGAAAUGAUACUCCACCCACGCGCGAUUGGAUUGCAACGCACGCUCGCGAGAGAUGCGGAGAACGAGAGAAGAGAGAAGGAGGUAGGCAAAAGAGAAAGCAAGCUGAAACGAGCGGAUUACGAGCCGAGCGCGUAUGCGAGAUUCAACAAGUGCACCCGCGACGUGGGUGAGUCACCGAGAGAGAAAAAUACAAGCGGGGGAAUGAAAUAUUGGGCGCGUGGGUUCGACCGAAUUGGGGAUAUCGGAGAAAAAAGUAUCGCGCGUGACUCAACGCCUGCAUAACUGAGAAAUCAGGAUUCCGCGCCGUAAACAACCGAAAGGUUAAUUCGUUUUUGCAUGCUGCCAAUUAAAGUGGAUAUAUUACUGCCAUCCUUCGUGCGCUGGCGCGAGACAGCGGCUUCGUGUUGUUUCCCGCAGAAAUUCCUUAAGGACGCUGCCGAGACCGACAGGUGCGCGCAACAGUCUUAUACAAGCGAGACAGAGGAAAGGAGAGAAAGAAGGAAAUUCGUUACACCUGCGUGUGUUCCCUGCGCUUCAAGGUUUCUCGUCGACAUGAACGUGUCACGUCUGGGUUAUGCGAUUUCGUCUAACAUUAUGCGCGCCGACGUAAACGGUAGCAAUAUAACGCUCCGUCGACGUCGCUUACGUAAGAACGAACGCUCGAGGAAGCUCGCCUUAUCUUGCCGCACGUCAGAAGUCCAGACGCGACGUCGGCCACGAACUCUUAAUACGUGCAUUCCGGGGACAACGGGAAUUCCACGGAUAUUUCCAUCUCACCGCGAAAGCUCCAUAUCCAUACCACUCGUCUAAGCAUCCUUGCAGCGAGAGAAAGCUGCUUGGUACUUGUGACUGUAAUUGCAUGCGGACAUCCCCGGCUUGCACGCGACUUUUGAUGACGGAAAUGAAAAUUGUAUGAAAUAUGAUUCGACGAUCUUCUCGUGAUACUCCUCAGCGCUUUUGUGCGCCAAAGAAUGCCGCGACAUGCCGCGGCGCCGAUGACGCAUUCGCGCGACAUAGACGGGGCCUGCCCGAUGCCGCGCAUUUCUUGCACGCAAUAGUAAUGUGCGGCGAGAAAAGACAAAAGUGAAAAAUUGGACGAACGCAGGUGAAUGGAAAUUUAUCAAACUAGACCGAGAAAUCAGUGUUCCAGGUAAAGGUAACGGUUAAACCGAAUUUCGCAGGUAUCCAAAUACAUAUACCUCUAUUCCAUGAAAAAAUAAAAAAAAAUGCGUACAACCCUGUGAA